ACGGAAGGCAGCAGUGGGGAAUGUUGGGCAAUGGGCGAAAGCCUGACCCAGCAACGCCGCGUGAAGGAAGAAGGUUUUCGGAUUGUAAACUUCUUUUAUCAGGGACGAGGAAAGUGACGGUACCUGAUGAAUAAGCCACGGCUAACUACGUGCCAGCAGCCGCGGUAAUACGUAGGUGGCAAGCGUUAUCCGGAUUUACUGGGUGUAAAGGGCGCGUAGGCGGGGAUGCAAGUCAGAUGUGAAAUCUAUGGGCUUAACCCAUAAACUGCAUUUGAAACUGUAUCUCUUGAGUGUCGGAGAGGUAGACGGAAUUCCUAGUGUAGCGGUGAAGUGCGUAGAUAUUAGGAGGAACACCAGUGGCGAAGGCGGUCUACUGGACGAUAACUGACGCUGAGGCGCGAAAGCGUGGGGAGCAAACAGGAUUAGAUACCCUGGUA
rnacentral:rRNA from 1 species